rnacentral:rRNA from 1 species
AGAGUUUGAUCCUGGCUCAGGAUGAACGCUGGCGGCGUGCCUAAUACAUGCAAGUCGAGCGAACGGACGAGAAGCUUGCUUCUCUGAUGUUAGCGGCGGACGGGUGAGUAACACGUGGAUAACCUACCUAUAAGACUGGGAUAACUUCGGGAAACCGGAGCUAAUACCGGAUAAUAUUUUGAACCGCAUGGUUCAAAAGUGAAAGACGGUCUUGCUGUCACUUAUAGAUGGAUCCGCGCUGCAUUAGCUAGUUGGUAAGGUAACGGCUUACCAAGGCAACGAUGCAUAGCCGACCUGAGAGGGUGAUCGGCCACACUGGAACUGAGACACGGUCCAGACUCCUACGGGAGGCAGCAGUAGGGAAUCUUCCGCAAUGGGCGAAAGCCUGACGGAGCAACGCCGCGUGAGUGAUGAAGGUCUUCGGAUCGUAAAACUCUGUUAUUAGGGAAGAACAUAUGUGUAAGUAACUGUGCACAUCUUGACGGUACCUAAUCAGAAAGCCACGGCUAACUACGUGCCAGCAGCCGCGGUAAUACGUAGGUGGCAAGCGUUAUCCGGAAUUAUUGGGCGUAAAGCGCGCGCAGGCGGUUUUUUAAGUCUGAUGUGAAAGCCCACGGCUCAACCGUGGAGGGUCAUUGGAAACUGGAAAACUUGAGUGCAGAAGAGGAAAGUGGAAUUCCAUGUGUAGCGGUGAAAUGCGCAGAGAUAUGGAGGAACACCAGUGGCGAAGGCGACUUUCUGGUCUGUAACUGACGCUGAUGUGCGAAAGCGUGGGGAUCAAACAGGAUUAGAUACCCUGGUAGUCCACGCCGUAAACGAUGAGUGCUAAGUGUUAGGGGGUUUCCGCCCCUUAGUGCUGCAGCUAACGCAUUAAGCACUCCGCCUGGGGAGUACGACCGCAAGGUUGAAACUCAAAGGAAUUGACGGGGACCCGCACAAGCGGUGGAGCAUGUGGUUUAAUUCGAAGCAACGCGAAGAACCUUACCAAAUCUUGACAUCCUUUGACAACUCUAGAGAUAGAGCUUUCCCCUUCGGGGGACAAAGUGACAGGUGGUGCAUGGUUGUCGUCAGCUCGUGUCGUGAGAUGUUGGGUUAAGUCCCGCAACGAGCGCAACCCUUAAGCUUAGUUGCCAUCAUUAAGUUGGGCACUCUAAGUUGACUGCCGGUGACAAACCGGAGGAAGGUGGGGAUGACGUCAAAUCAUCAUGCCCCUUAUGAUUUGGGCUACACACGUGCUACAAUGGACAAUACAAAGGGCAGCGAAACCGCGAGGUCAAGCAAAUCUCAUAAAGUUGUUCUCAGUUCGGAUUGUAGUCUGCAACUCGACUACAUGAAGCUGGAAUCGCUAGUAAUCGUAGAUCAGCAUGCUACGGUGAAUACGUUCCCGGGUCUUGUACACACCGCCCGUCACACCACGAGAGUUUGUAACACCCGAAGCCGGUGGAGUAACCUUUUAGGAGCUAGCCGUCGAAGGUGGGACAAAUGAUUGGGGUGAAGUCGUAACAAGGUAGCCGUAUCGGAAGGUGCGGCUGGAUCACCU